AGAGUUUGAUCCUGGCUCAGGACGAACGCUGGCGGCGUGCCUAAUACAUGCAAGUCGAACGCUUUUUCUUUCACCGGAGCUUGCUCCACCGAAAGAAAAGGAGUGGCGAACGGGUGAGUAACACGUGGGUAACCUGCCCAUCAGAAGGGGAUAACACUUGGAAACAGGUGCUAAUACCGUAUAACAAUAGAAACCGCAUGGUUUCUAUUUGAAAGGCGCUUUUGCGUCACUGGUGGAUGGACCCGCGGUGCAUUAGCUAGUUGGUGAGGUAACGGCUCACCAAGGCAACGAUGCAUAGCCGACCUGAGAGGGUGAUCGGCCACAUUGGGACUGAGACACGGCCCAAACUCCUACGGGAGGCAGCAGUAGGGAAUCUUCGGCAAUGGACGAAAGUCUGACCGAGCAACGCCGCGUGAGUGAAGAAGGUUUUCGGAUCGUAAAACUCUGUUGUUAGAGAAGAACAAGGAUGAGAGUAGAAUGUUCAUCCCUUGACGGUAUCUAACCAGAAAGCCACGGCUAACUACGUGCCAGCAGCCGCGGUAAUACGUAGGUGGCAAGCGUUGUCCGGAUUUAUUGGGCGUAAAGCGAGCGCAGGCGGUUUCUUAAGUCUGAUGUGAAAGCCCCCGGCUCAACCGGGGAGGGUCAUUGGAAACUGGGAAACUUGAGUGCAGAAGAGGAGAGUGGAAUUCCAUGUGUAGCGGUGAAAUGCGUAGAUAUAUGGAGGAACACCAGUGGCGAAGGCGGCUCUCUGGUCUGUAACUGACGCUGAGGCUCGAAAGCGUGGGGAGCAAACAGGAUUAGAUACCCUGGUAGUCCACGCCGUAAACG
rnacentral:rRNA from 1 species